CCCGCCGCAACAGUGCGGGAUGUUUUAAUCCCAGUGGUUUCGCCCUCCUGGCGCUCGCCAAGGUCCCCACGGACCCGGAACAGCCCCCAUCUAAUCAGCCGGGAAGAAAUAAGCGCAGCAAGACACUCUAGGAAAGUCAAUUUCCGUAGAGAGGAAUCUUCCAUUCUUCCUCCCAGAGGAUGUAAGCUGAUCUACCAUCAUUCUGGCUGCUGGGCAGGGAAAGUGAGGAGGCGUUCACCACCCACCUCCAGAUUGCAAGCUCCAGGAAGGCUGAGUUUGUGCUGCAUUUUAUUCACCGUUGUAUCCCC